rnacentral:rRNA from 1 species
UACGUAGGGAGCAAGCGUUGUCCGGAAUCAUUGGGCGUAAAGCGCGCGUAGGUGGCUUCGUAAGUCCGUUGUGAAAGUCAAAGGCUCAACCUUUGAAAGCCGAUGGAUACUGCGGAGCUAGAGUACGGAAGAGGCGAGUGGAAUUCCGCGUGUAGCAGUGAAAUGCGUAGAGAUGCGGAGGAACACCGAUGGCGAAGGCAGCCCCCUGGGCUAGCACUGACGCUCAGGCACGAAAGCGUGGGGAGCAAACAGG